rnacentral:rRNA from 1 species
AGCGAACGCUGGCGGCAGGCUUAACACAUGCAAGUCGAGCGGGCAUCCUUGUGGUGUCAGCGGCAGACGGGUGAGUAACGCGUGGGAACGUGCCCUUCGGUUCGGAAUAACUCAGGGAAACUUGAGCUAAUACCGGAUACGUGCGAGAGCAGAAAGGUUUAUCUGCCGAAGGAUCGGCCCGCGUCUGAUUAGCUAGUUGGUGAGGUUACGGCUCACCAAGGCCACGAUCAGUAGCUGGGCUGAGAGGAUGAUCAGCCACACUGGGACUGAGACACGGCCCAGACUCCUACGCGAGGCAGCAGUGGGGAAUAUUGGACAAUGGGGGGAACCCUGAUCCAGCCAGGCCGCGUGAGUGAUGACGGCCUUAGGGUUGUAAAGCUCUUUUAUCCGGGACGAUAAUGACGGUACCGGAGGAAUAAGCCCCGGCUAACUUCGUG